UACGUAGGUGGCGAGCGUUGUCCGGAUUUACUGGGCGUAAAGAGCGCGCAGGCGGUCGUGCAAGUCGCGUGUGAAAGCCCCCGGCUCAACUGGGGAGGGUCACGCGAUACUGCUCGACUCGAAGGCAGGAGAGGGAAGUGGAAUUCCCGGUGUAGUGGUGAAAUGCGUAGAUAUCUGGAGGAACACCGGUGGCGAAGGCGGCAUCCUGGACCACGACUGACGCUGAGUGAGCGAAAGCCAGGGGAGCAAACGGG
rnacentral:rRNA from 1 species